rnacentral:tRNA from 1 species
GUCCUAGUAGUACAACCCAGUACCCUGGUCUUGUAAACCAGAAAUGGAGAUCGUCUCCCUAAGACACA